rnacentral:misc_RNA from 1 species
UGCGGAGGGGACUAGAGUUGUUCGGAAUUACUGGGCGUAAAGCGCGCGUAGGCGGAUUAGUAAGUCAGAGGUGAAAUCCCGAGGCUCAACCCCGGAACUGCCUUUGAUACUGCUAGUCUUGAGUUCGAGAGAGGUUAGUGGUAUUCCGAGUGUAGAGGUGAAAUUCGUAGAUAUUCGUAGGAACACCAGUGGCGAAGGCGGCUCACUGGCUCGAUACUGACGCUGAGGUGCGAAAGCGUGGGGAGCAAACAGG